UCCACAGCUACACGGCUGGUGCAGUUUGUGGUGCCCUCCUAAAGCCAGUCAGGGAUCCCUGCGGCUCCAGAUUUUGUCCUGGGGAGAAUCCUAGUCUGUGAAUCAUGUGUCAUAGUCUUGGAUCAGGAUAAUGCAUUCUGAUCUGUUUUGCCUCCUAAAGAACAGAACUGGGUACCUAGGAAAUUGUAACUUCUGCCUCUAAGCAGAGCAGAGAAGUCUGGACCCUAUUUGAAGCUUUUGUUCUUUGUUUUGGUCAGAAAAUUAUGUGUUUAAGGUACAGAAACAUAAUCCAUUGACCUCAAAUAAAAUGAGUAGGUAGUUAAUGUAAGCAUGCAAGUGAAAAUCUCAUGGACAAAGGGACACAGUCAAGGCAGGUGACCUGGAGAACUCAAAGGAGGUCAGGAGUGAAACUGACCUGGGUUAAGCCUGUCUCUGCAACUUACUAGUCAUAUAACUGUAAGCAAGUCAUUUUGUAACCCUAUAAACUCUUUCCCCACUAUACUGCACUGGGGAAACUACUGUCUUCUUCCCUCCUAACCUAUGAGGAUCCAAUGUUAUGGAAGAUGGCCAAGAAUGUUGGCUGGGGUAGAGUAGCUUCCCAACAGUAUGCUUUAAAUUGGCUCAAUACUUUAAGUAUGACUCAUGGGACACUCACAGGGCAUCACCAUUCCUAGAAGUAGAAGUAAAAGAGAUGGUUUAGUGAGUAGGCGAUGGAUUACAUUUUGGAUAUGCUGGAAUUUUCAACUGGACAGGAUGUUCAGGCAGAUUCUUUACCAUCUGAGCCACCAGGGAAGCCUUGCCCUAAUUACAAUAUUGGGAGAAUGUAUAGUGUGGUAGAGAGAGCAGAAAACCAGAAUCAGAUAGUCUUGGGUCAAACCCUGUGACCUGCUUGAGGGCCAAGAAUCCUGAAGUGACUCAGUGAAGUGGUUCUGGCUUAGGCUCUCCCAUGAAACUUCAGUGAAGACAUGAUCUGAGGCUACAAUCAUCUGAAGACCUGCCUGAGCCUUGGACGAUCUGCUCCCAAGAUGGUUCAGUCACAUGGUUGGUGUCAAGAGGCCUCAGCUCCUUACCAAUUGUUGGCCAGAGGCCUUCAUCCCACCACAUAUGAAUUUCUCCGUGAAAGAAAUUGCGGCGUAGACAAUUCACGUAGGCAAGAUUAACUUAAAAGUGGCGGAACUAGGAGCCUAACCCAGUUCUGACUCCAAAACCUGCGCGCAAAAUAG
ensembl:lncRNA